GGAUGACGUCUCCUUCACACCUGAUGCGAGUUUAGCUCGUCAGCGGGAGUUUCAAGAGGAGCUGACUGCCAGUUCUUUGGCAUUUGAGUGUUAGCCAGUAAUGGUGAUCCCUCCUGGUGCCCUGGAUCCACUCAGUGCUGAUCCUUCCUGGCUGCUUUCCUCGUGACGUGGAGCGUACCCACUGGUUGCCCGAGUUCCCAGACUAACCUUCUCCGUGUGACAACACAGAUCCUUCAGGAUUUCCACGGCUGGCAGUCGCACCGCUCCUCUGUACCCACUGAUCCUGAGCCUACCUGUCCGUCCUCCGACGCACUUCCCGUUACCUCCUGGUUUCCCACUGACAAAACAACGACCACUUGGAACCACGGAGAGACUGAGACCUCGAACCUUGCAGUUACCCUCUCACAACUCGAACCUACCAUCCGCAAUGAGCUGUUUGUUCCCUGAACCAGCCUACCUUCCUGGACCAGACCUGAGCCCCCAUAACCUACCAGCUGUGUUCUAAUAAAC